UACGUAGGGUGCGAGCGUUGUCCGGAAUUACUGGGCGUAAAGAGCUCGUAGGUGGUUUGUCGCGUUGUUCGUGAAAACUCACAGCUUAACUGUGGGCGUGCGGGCGAUACGGGCAGACUGGAGUACUGCAGGGGAGACUGGAAUUCCCGGUGUAGAGGUGAAAUUCGUAGAUAUCGGGAGGAAUACCAGUGGCGAAGGCGGCGACCUGGGCCAAUACUGACGCUGAGGUGCGAAAGCGUGGGGAGCAACAGG
rnacentral:rRNA from 1 species